CCUACGGGAGGCAGCAGUGAGGAAUAUUGGUCAAUGGGCGCGAGCCUGAACCAGCCAAGUAGCGUGAAGGAUGACUGCCCUACGGGUUGUAAACUUCUUUUAUAAAGGAAUAAAGUGAGGCACGUGUGCCUUUUUGUAUGUACUUUAUGAAUAAGGAUCGGCUAACUCCGUGCCAGCAGCCGCGGUAAUACGGAGGAUCCGAGCGUUAUCCGGAUUUAUUGGGUUUAAAGGGAGCGUAGAUGGGUUGUUAAGUCAGUUGUGAAAGUUUGCGGCUCAACCGUAAAAGUGCAAUUGAUAAUGGCAGACUCGAGUACAGUUGAGGUAGGCGGAAUGCGUGGUGUAGCGGUGAAAUGCUGAGAUAUCGGGAAGAACUCCGGUUGCGAAGGCAGCCUGCUAGACUGCCACUGACGUUGAGGCUCGAAAGUGUGGGUAUCAAACAGGAUGAGAUACCCUUGUAGUC
rnacentral:rRNA from 1 species